UCACUAACCUGUGGGGUUAGAUUAUCUGGAGAUCACAGCUGGGUUUUCAGGAAGAUCCCUAAGUGGAAAGUACUGUAUCCAUUCUGGAGGAAGAAUUGGGCAUGCUAGGUGUAUGGUGAAGAAAUGGAGAGAGAACCAGGCCUGGAGUCAAAAAGACCUGAGUUCAAAUCAAGCCUCAGACACUUAAGGUGUCUAUUCCUAGGUGCAAAGAAGCUGUCUAGUACAAAGGAGGAGCCUACAGGAGGACAGAAGUCUAGGGAGAGGAGGCUGAAGGUAUUAUAUCAGGACCCACCAGAGACUUAAAGACUUUGGGAAAUGGGGUAGUAUUUUGAUUGUUAGAUUUUGCCAAAGGUAGACUGCCUGCCUUUCUGGCUCAAUUGUCAAUGCACCGGUGGCAUUGGGGAAUGCCCCCAAAUGCCAGUUACCCAUACCUGUAUCCCUAGGAUUUCCCACCAUUAGUAAUGGAGUCCAACCCCAUAUAGCAUUACCCAUUUGUCCAUUUGAUUGGUCAGCGAAGUUCAGUCCUGACCAAAUGGGGUGUGUGUCAACGUGGAAUCUAGAAGUCCCCAGUUUCUUUAGUUGGGAGGUAGAAACCCCAGUUUUGACCUUGUCACAGAAGAGUUUUCCCCCUCAGGGAAGGUCCUACUUCACCAGACAAUAGACAUCCUGGUAGUUUGGGUGGGAAUAGCCAAUUCUAUCUGAUGGCAAGUAACUUUUUUGUCCCAUUGGUUCCUCCCCCUAGGCUAAAAGGUGGCCCAGCCUUGGGCUGAGUCUUUCCCUUUUUGUGUCCAUUGUAGGGCAUCAGCCCCUCUCUGUAAUUCCUGUCUGGAACUCCUCAUUUUCCUUUCUUACCCUUGUAAAGUCAAUCAACUGUCCCUCUCACCCUAAGUCUCCAGGUCAUCUAGAAAUGUAUUUAAACUCCCCAACUUUAAUGGCUCUUUGGAAUUGUCAUUCUCUUACCAUUUGGCAUUCCCAGGGGUCAGUGACCAGAGCCGCCAGAGUUCAAUCCUCGGACUCUGCAGUCGCGUGUGGUGAGCAGCUCCGUUGUUGAGGCCUACUAGCGCUGAACCCCUUUUGCCCUUGAUUAAAGAGUGAUUUUGACUAUAUAAUAGUUCUGUGCUUUUUCCAGGUAACAGAAGUAAAACUGAGAAAGAAGAGAAAACUAGUGGAAGAAGUUCUCUGAUUUCCCUGGUCUCAGUCUAGCCAGCUUUGAAACCCCUGAAUAAACAACAUGAAAUCAACA
rnacentral:lncRNA from 1 species